rnacentral:rRNA from 1 species
UACGUAGGUGGCAAGCGUUGUCCGGAUUUACUGGGCGUAAAGGGCGUGCAGGCGGUCUGUUAAGUCUAGGGUGAAAGCUCCCGGCUCAACUGGGAGAGGUCCUUGGAUACUGGCGGACUUGAGGGAUGCAGAGGAAAGUGGAAUUCCCGGUGUAGUGGUGAAAUGCGUAGAGAUCGGGAGGAACACCAGAGGCGAAGGCGGCGACCUGGAGAGUGACUGACACUCAACUGCGAAAGCGUGGGGAGCAAACAGG